ensembl:misc_RNA 7SK 7SK RNA
GGAUAUGAGGGCGAUCUGGCUGCAACAUGUUAUCCCACUGAGCCAGGGCUGAUUCGGCUGACUAGGAGGGUGUCCUCUUCCUUCCUCACUGCUCCAUGUGUAUCCCUCCCGAAGCUGUGUGCUCGGUCAAAGAGGAUGACCACCCCCGAUAGAGGAGGACCAUUUCCUUGGUCAAGGUUAUACAAGUAGCUACACUCCCCUCCAAACAAGCUCUUAAGAACAUAUCAGCUUUAUGAUCAUGAAUGAGUAACUUCCAGGUACCUCAAUGUAUCCAUUUAUAAAACAGUAUCACAAU